GUAAGCUCACAUCCCUUCGGGGCGUCUUACGAGGUGCUGCAUGGUUGUCGUCAGCUCGUGCCGUGAGGUGUCGGGUUAAGUCCCAUAACGAGCGCAACCCCUACCUUUAGUUGCUAACAGGUCAUGCUGGGGACUCUAAAGGAACUGCCUACGCAAGUAGUGAGAAAGGCGGGGAUGACGUCAAAUCAGCACGGCCCUUACGUCCAGGGCUACACACGUGCUACAAUGGCCGAUACAGAGGGCAGCUACCAGGUGACUGGAUGCAAAUCUCCAAAGUCGGUCUCAGUUCGGAUCGGAGUCUGCAACCCGACUCCGUGAAGUUGGAUUCGCUAGUAAUCGCGCAUCAGCCAUGGCGCGGUGAAUACGUUCCCGGGCCUUGUACACACCGCCCGUCAAGCCAUGGAAGCUGGGGGGACCUAAAGUCGAUAACCGUUAAGGAGUCGCCUAGGGUAAAACCAGUGACUGGGGCUAAGUCGUAACAAGGUAGCCGUACCGGAAGG
rnacentral:rRNA from 1 species